AUGAGAAACCCUGGGCUUAACAUGGCAAUAGGACUCUUGCACCAUCAAAGCCUGGCUAGGUUUCCUCCCAAAGUUCAGUCUGUUGCAGAGCUAGCUGACUGGCUUCAUGGGAACCAGGAUCCGAUUUUUCAUGAGAACACCUCGUUCUGCAAGAUUUGUCCACAGUGAAAGAAUUCAGAGUGCCUCUCCCUUCUCUGUGUUGUACUGAAGUAAUCUUUUGUUUAUGUUCAUAUAUAGGGCAAAACCCUGUCUUCUUCUUCUUCUUCUUGUAAUAUUCCUCUUUUAUCCUCAAGAGGACUCAAUUGUUUGCUGUUGUCUGUGAUGGUUUUCCAUUGAAAGUUUUGAGACUUAGCAAUGCUAAAUAGUUGAGCCUUGCAUUGCUUGCCCAGUUAUACAGGACUGAUGACAACUCCUUCCUACUUGAAUAUGCCACCAAUAAGACAUAUUAUCCCUCUGGUGACUGUUUACUCCAAAUCCAUACAGCAUUCUUUCAAUGUAACUAAAUUAUUCCUUAAAUAUUACCCACACAUGCAUCUCACAAUGAUUUCAAAUCUUGACAAGUUAUAAGCUUUCUGUAGAUACCUUACAUGAUACUCUUUAUGCAUAAAUAUCCCAUAAGUUUGGUGUAGUGAAUUUGUAGAGUCUGAGGUGAGAGUUGCUGGCAAAGAACAGGGGACCCUUUCCCUCUGUAUCACAAUCUCCCUUCCUGUUUAUCACCCAGCUUCACUUCCCUUUCCAUUCAUAUAGCAGCCCUGUGGCAGCUACAGCACUUGUUUACAUGGCAAAAGUAAUAGUGGGAAUGAAUUUGAAAGCAAUCUAGUGUCUGAAAGUGAGGAAGAGGGCUAGAGUAGCAAGUACUCGGUGAAAUACCACUGAUUAACCUCACUUACUGACCCCAACAUUUCUUCUGAAGCGAAGUUCCACCAUGGCCAGGUUCCCAUUUAUUUGUAGCUUAGUAAACUAAUAUCCUAGAGUGAAUCCCUUAUCAGUUAUCAACUGUACUGUAUUGAUUGAUACAUCUUGAAACUGACUGUUUUGCCAUUAAAAAUUAUUCUCUGUUCUCUUCUGUAGCACCUUUCAUCUAUGGACCUCAAACCACUUUUUGGGCAUUAAUUUAAGCUUGUAUCACAUGGCGUAAGUAAAUAUUAUUGUUCCCAUCUUAUGGAUG
rnacentral:lncRNA from 1 species